rnacentral:rRNA from 1 species
GAUCAGCAUGCCGCGGUGAAUACGUUCCCGGGUCUUGUACACACCGCCCGUCACACCACGAGAGUUGGUAACACCCGAAGUCGGUGAGGUAACCUUUUGGAGCCAGCCGCCGAAGGUGGGACCAAUGAUUGGGGUGAAGUCGUAACAAGGUAGCCGUAUCGGAAGGUGCGGCUGGAUCACCUCCUUUCUAAGGA